AAAACGAAUCAAAACACACCCAAAAAGAAGCCAACAGAGCAGGGCUCGAUCAUCACUAAACAUCGAAUAACCAGCAAAGUAGGUCUCUAUAACAAAGCAAAAAGCUCUAAAACUGUAUUAAGGGAUCAAAAAGUAGAAGACAACAUGAAGAAGUGUGUCCCAGAUCAUGAGGAAGAACUGAAAAAAGACCUUUCAAGAGUUUUAGAUUGUUCCUCAUUCAGAAUUAAGCCUCUGAUUGCUAGUUCUGGAUACAUUAGCACAGAAAUGACUGCAUCCUCUGAUAUUCCCAUAUCUGUUCCAAGACAAUUCAGUGGAAGG